UUGACCUCAGAUCAGGUAGGAAUACCCGCUGAACUUAAGCAUAUCAAUAAGCGGAGGAAAAGAAACCAACAGGGAUUGCCCCAGUAACGGCGAGUGAAGCGGCAACAGCUCAAAUUUGAAAUCUGCCCUAGGCCCGAGUUGUAAUUUGUAGAGGAUGUUUCUGACGAGGUACCUUCCGAGUUCCCUGGAACGGGACGCCAUAGAGGGUGAGAGCCCCGUACGGUUGGUCGCCAAGUCUCUGUGAAACUCCUUCGACGAGUCGAGUAGUUUGGGAAUGCUGCUCUAAAUGGGAGGUAUACGUCUUCUAAAGCUAAAUAUAGGCCAGAGACCGAUAGCGCACAAGUAGAGUGAUCGAAAGAUGAAAAGCACUUUGAAAAGAGGGUUAAAUAGUACGUGAAAUUGUUGAAAGGGAAGCGCAUAUGACCAGACUUGGCCAGGUUAAUCAUCCAUCGUUCUCGGUGGUGCACUUUGCCGCCAGGCCAGCAUCAGUUCGCUUUGGGGGAUAAAGACUUUGGGAAUGUGGCUCCCUCGGGAGUGUUAUAGCCCAUUGUGUAAUACCCUGGAGUGGACUGAGGUUCGC
rnacentral:rRNA from 1 species